rnacentral:tRNA from 1 species
AGAAAGUUAGUCUAACCAAGACAGUUGAUUUCGACUCAACAGAUUAUAGCCACUACCCUAUAACUUUCUU